CCUACGGGUGGCAGCAGUGGGGAAUAUUGCACAAUGGGCGCAAGCCUGAUGCAGCGACGCCGCGUGCGGGAUGGAGGCCUUCGGGUUGUAAACCGCUUUUGUUCAAGGGCAAGGCACGGUCUUUGGCCGUGUUGAGUGGAUUGUUCGAAUAAGCACCGGCUAACUACGUGCCAGCAGCCGCGGUAAUACGUAGGGUGCAAGCGUUAUCCGGAUUUAUUGGGCGUAAAGGGCUCGUAGGCGGUUCGUCGCGUCCGGUGUGAAAGUCCAUCGCUUAACGGUGGAUCCGCGCCGGGUACGGGCGGGCUUGAGUGCGGUAGGGGAGACUGGAAUUCCCGGUGUAACGGUGGAAUGUGUAGAUAUCGGGAAGAACACCAAUGGCGAAGGCGGUCUGCUGGACAGCAACUGACGCUGAGGCGCGAAAGCGUGGGGAGCAAACAGGAUUAGAUACCCGUGUAGUC
rnacentral:rRNA from 1 species